rnacentral:rRNA from 1 species
GAUGAACGCUGGCGGCGUGCCUAAUACAUGCAAGUCGAGCGAACGGACGAGAUGCUUGUUUCUUUGAUGUUGGGGGCGGACGGGUGAGUAACACGUGGAUAAAACACCUAUCCGCCUGAGAUAACUUCGGGAAACCGCAGAUAAUACCGGAUAAUAUUUUGAACCGCCUGGUUCAACAGUGAAAGAUGGUAUUGCCGUCACUUAUAGAUGGAUCCGCGCUGCAUUAGCUAGUUGGUAAGGUAACGGCUUACCAAGGCAACGAUGCAUAGCCGACCGGAGAGGUUUAUCGGCCUCCCUGGAGCUGAUACACGACCCAGGCCCCUGCGAGAUGCAGCACUAGGGAAUCUUCCGCGAUGGACUAAAGCCUGACGGGGCCACGCCGCGUGAGUGAUGUAAGUCUUCGCAUCGGGAGACUCUGUUAUUAGGAAAUGUCAUAUGUGUAAGUAACUGUGCACAUCUUGACGGUACCUAAUCAGAAAGCCACGGCUAACUACGUG